GUUGGAAUAGCUUAGUUGGUUAGAGCAUGUGGCUAUUAACCACAAGGUCAAAGGUUCAAGCCCUCUUUUUAGCG
rfam:Ipomoea nil DNA, scaffold: scaffold3087, cultivar: Tokyo-kokei standard.